rnacentral:rRNA from 1 species
CCUACGGGAGGCAGCAGUGAGGAAUAUUGGUCAAUGGACGAUAGUCUGAACCAGCCAAGUAGCGUGAAGGAUGACUGCCCUAUGGGUUGUAAACUUCUUUUAUAAAGGAAUAAAGUGCGGCAUGUGUGCCUCUUUGCAUGUACUUUAUGAAUAAGGAUCGGCUAACUCCGUGCCAGCAGCCGCGGUAAUACGGAGGAUCCGAGCGUUAUCCGGAUUUAUUGGGUUUAAAGGGAGCGUAGGCGGGUUGUUAAGUCAGUUGUGAAAGUUUGCGGCUCAACCGUAAAAUUGCAGUUGAUACUGGCAGUCUUGAGUACAGUAGAGGUAGGCGGAAUUCGUGGUGUAGCGGUGAAAUGCUUAGAUAUCACGAAGAACCCCGAUUGCGAAGGCAGCCUGCUAGACUGUAACUGACGUUGAUGCUCGAAAGUGUGGGUAUCAAACAGGAUUAGAUACCCUAGUAGUC